UAAGGAAUAUUGGUCAAUGGACGCAAGUCUGAACCAGCCAUGCCGCGUGGAGGAUGAAGGCCCUCUGGGUUGUAAACUUCUUUUAUCUGGGACGAAACACUUCCUUUCUAGGGAGCUUGACGGUACCAGGUGAAUAAGCACCGGCUAACUCCGUGCCAGCAGCCGCGGUAAUACGGAGGGUGCAAGCGUUAUCCGGAUUCACUGGGUUUAAAGGGUGCGUAGGCGGACAUGUAAGUCCGUGGUGAAAUCUCCGAGCUUAACUCGGAAACUGCCAUGGAUACUAUAUGUCUUGAAUGUUGUGGAGGUUAGCGGAAUAUGUCAUGUAGCGGUGAAAUGCAUAGAUAUGACAUAGAACACCAAUUGCGAAGGCAGCUGGCUACACAAAUAUUGACGCUGAGGCACGAAAGCGUGGGGAUCAAACAG
rnacentral:rRNA from 1 species